GACGAACGCUGGCGGCGUGGAUUAGGCAUGCAAGUCGAACGGUAUCAUCCUUUCGGGGGUGAGAGAGUGGCGAACUGGUGAGUAACACGUAGGUUAUCUACCCUCAAGACGGGGACAACCCAGGGAAACUUGGGCUAAUACCGGAUGUGAGCAACUUUUAGUUGUUUGAAAGGUGGCGUAAGCUGUCGCUUGGGGAUGAGCCUGCGUCCUAUUAGUUAGUUGGUGAGGUAACGGCUCACCUAGGCAAUGAUAGGUAGGCGGCCUUAACGGGUGGUCGCCCACACUGGGAUUGAGAUACGGCCCAGACUCCUACGGGAGCAGCAGUCGAGAAUAGUCUACAAUGGUCGGAAGACUGAUAGUGCGACGCCGCGUGAACGAUGAAUCCCUUCGGGGUGUAAAGUUCUUUUAUAUGUGAGCAGUGCUUCUUAUAUUAACAGUAUGGGGAGAGAGAUAUUAGCAUAUGAAUAAGCAAACGGCUAAACUCCGUGCCCAGCAGCCGCGGUAAGA
rnacentral:rRNA from 1 species